rnacentral:rRNA from 1 species
CCUACGGGAGGCAGCAGUGAGGAAUAUUGGUCAAUGGGCGCAAGCCUGAACCAGCCAAGCCGCGUGAAGGAAGAAGGCCCUAGGGGUUGUAAACUUCUUUUAUCAAGGAAUAAAGUGAGGCACGUGUGCCUUUAUGUAUGUACUUUAUGAAUAAGGAUCGGCUAACUCCGUGCCAGCAGCCGCGGUAAUACGGAGGGUCCGAGCGUUAACCGGAUUUAUUGGGGUUAAAGGGAGCGUAGAUGGGUGGUUAAGUCAGUUGUGAAAGUUCGCGGCUCAACCCUAAAAUUGCAAUUGAUACUGGCAGUCUUGAGUCCAGUAGAGGUAGGCGGAAUUCGUGGUGUAGCGGUGAAAUGCUUAGAUAUGACGAAGAACUCCGAUUGCGAAGGCAGCUUACUAGACUGCCACUGACGUUGAGGCUCGAAAGUGUGGGUAUCAAACAGGAUUAGAUACCCGUGUAGUC